rnacentral:rRNA from 1 species
AUAUUGGUCAAUGGACGCAAGUCUGAACCAGCCAUGCCGCGUGGAGGAUUAAGGUCCUCUGGAUUGUAAACUUCUCUUAUCUGGGACGAAACACUUCUUUUCUAAGAGGCCUGACGGUACCAGAUGAAUAAGCACCGGCUAACUCCGUGCCAGCAGCCGCGGUAAUACGGAGGGUGCAAGCGUUAUCCGGAUUCACUGGGUUUAAAGGGUGCGUAGGUGGGUAUGUAAGUCAGUGGUGAAAUCCCCGAGCUUAACUUGGGAACUGCCAUUGAUACUAUAUAUCUUGAAUACCGUAGAGNUAAGCGGAAUAUGUCAUGUAGCGGUGAAAUGCUUAGAUAUGACAUGGAACACCAAUUGCGAAGGCAGCUUACUAUGCGGUGAUUGACACUGAGGCACGAAAGCGUGGGUAGCAAACA